AACGAACGCUGGCGGCAGGCCUAACACAUGCAAGUCGAGCGCACUCUUCGGAGUGAGCGGCGGACGGGUUAGUAACGCGUGGGAACGUACCCUUUUCUGCGGAAUAGCCUCUGGAAACGGAGAGUAAUACCGCAUACGCCCUUUGGGGGAAAGAAUUUCGGUGAAGGAUCGGCCCGCGUUAGAUUAGGUAGUUGGUGGGGUAACGGCCUACCAAGCCUACGAUCUAUAGCUGGUUUUAGAGGAUGAUCAGCAACACUGGGACUGAGACACGGCCCAGACUCCUACGGGAGGCAGCAGUGGGGAAUCUUGGACAAUGGGGGCAACCCUGAUCCAGCCAUGCCGCGUGAGUGAUGAAGGCCUCUGGGCUGUAAACCUCUUUUAUCAAGGAAGAAGAUCUGACGGUACUUGAUGAAUAAGCCACGGCUAAUUCCGUGCCAGCCGCCGCAGUAACAC
rnacentral:rRNA from 1 species